CGAACGAGAGAGAGGAAGCUUGCUUCCUCAAUCGAGUGGCGAACGGGUGAGUAACGCGUGAGGAACCUGCCUCAAAGAGGGGGACAACAGUUGGAAACGACUGCUAAUACCGCAUAAGCCCACGGGUCGGCAUCGACCAGAGGGAAAAGGAGCAAUCCGCUUUGAGAUGGCCUCGCGUCCGAUUAGCUAGUUGGUGAGGUAACGGCCCACCAAGGCAACGAUCGGUAGCCGGACUGAGAGGUUGAACGGCCACAUUGGGACUGAGACACGGCCCAGACUCCUACGGGAGGCAGCAGUGGGGAAUAUUGCACAAUGGGGGAAACCCUGAUGCAGCGACGCCGCGUGGAGGAAGAAGGUCUUCGGAUUGUAAACUCCUGUUGUUGAGGAAGAUAACGAC
rnacentral:rRNA from 1 species